rnacentral:misc_RNA from 1 species
AUUCAUCUUCCAUUAUUGUUUUAUCCAUUGCCCGGCUUGGCACAAUAUUUAUUUUCUCAAACUCGGUUACCUUCCAAACAAUUACCUGUUUCACGAAAUCUCUCAUCGAACUUGAAACACCACUUUUCAUUCCCAUCUCGUACCAAGAUACGACACGGGGUGAAGGCAACGCGUCGGCCGCGGAGACAACUGUUUCGCAAAGUGAAAAUUACUUCGCCGAACGAUUCGUGCAGGUACACGCGAAGAAAUGCAACUUUUAGACGAGGCAACGACACAGACGAUUCCUUCGGCGAACUACUAAAGUGUCGUCAAGCUGGCAACUAUUUGGGUUGGCAACUAAGCGAUUGCGGGGUUUGUCAGUAUCGCCUGAUGACAAAAUCCGCAAUCACUUAGUUGCCAAGCCGAUAAAAGCGAUAGGGAACUGUCGACAUUUGAGCCACUCGCCCAACGACCCGCAUUAUUCCGCUAGAUAAAUUCUCGUUCAUCGACGAUGUAUUCACGGGGCGGGUAAACAUCGACGAAGAAAUAUCCGCCAUGUUUCCUUUCGUUGCAGUAUCUCCCCACUCACGCGCUACUUAUUCAAACGCCUUUCUUCCCUUCAUUGGCCGGCCAAGACGGAUCGCUGGCACUCGUGGCGCGUAAUAAUUCACGCGUUUUAAUUUUCUCGAUAGAAGAAACUGAUAAAUAUGCGAUGAAAUUUUAUUGCUUGUAUUUUUAUUGUAG